rnacentral:rRNA from 1 species
GACGAACGCUGGCGGCGUGCCUAAUACAUGCAAGUAGAACGCUGAAGGAGGAGCUUGCUCUUCUGGAUGAGUUGCGAACGGGUGAGUAACGCGUAGGUAACCUGCCUGGUAGCGGGGGAUAACUAUUGGAAACGAUAGCUAAUACCGCAUAAAAUUGAUUAUUGCAUGAUAGUCAAUUAAAAGGUGCAAUUGCAUCACUACCAGAUGGACCUGCGUUGUAUUAGCUAGUUGGUGAGGUAACGGCUCACCAAGGCAACGAUACAUAGCCGACCUGAGAGGGUGAACGGCCACACCUGGACUGGGGCACGGGUCAGACUCCUACGGGAGGCAGCAGUAGGGAAUCUUCGGCAAUGGGCGGAAGUCUGACCGAACAACGCCGCGGGAGGGAAGAAGGUUUUCGGAUCGUAAAGCUCUGUUGUAAGAGAAGAACGAGUGGGAGGGUGAAAAGUUCACACUGUGACGGUAUCUUACCAGAAAGCAACGGCUAACUACGUG